UCAGACCCGUGGCAAAUAGCUCAGUAGCACGUGGCCAAUCUACCCUCCGGAUCAGCACACCCUCGGGAAACUGAGGCCAAUUCUGUAUACGGCUCCCGACCUGGAAUGGUGGGAGCCAGAAACGCUCCGGCGCCGGAGGAUGAGGCUGCGGCCGAUUAGGUUGACGGUGGGGUAAUGGCCCACCGUGCCGAUAAUCGGUCUGGGUCAUGAGAGUGAGAACCCAGAGACGGACUCUGAGACAAGAUUCCGGGCCCUACGGGGCGCAGCAGGCGCGAAACCUUUACACUGCACGCCAGUGCGAUAAGGGGACCCCAAGUGCGCAGGCAUAGUGCCUGCGCUUUUCUGGACUGUAGGGCGGUCCAGGAACAAGGGCUGGGCAAGACCGGUGCCAGCCGCCGCGGUAAUACCGGCAGCCCAAGUGAUGGCCGCUGUUAUUGGGCCUAAAGCGUCCGUAGCUGGCCGCACAAGUCCGUCGGGAAAUCCGCCCGCUCAACGGGCGGCCGUCCGGCGGAACCUGUGUGGCUUGGGACCGGGAGGCCUGAGGGGUACGAUCGGGGUAGGAGUGAAAUCCUGUAAUCCCGCUCGGACCGCCGAUGGGGAAACCACCUCAGGAGAACGGAUCCGACAGUGAGGGACGAAAGCCAGGGUCUCGAACCGGAUUAGAUACCCGGGUAGUCCUGGCCGUAAACGAUGCUUGUUAGGUGUGACUCCCACUACGAGUGGGUGUUGUGCCGUAGGGAAGCCG
rnacentral:rRNA from 1 species